CCUGAUAAACCUGACAUCAGGGUCACUGAUCACUUUACAUGGUGGCAGAUACUUUUCAUAGUAAUCGGUGCUGUUGCGGUUGUUGCUGCUGUUAUUGGGAUAGCAAUCUGCUUGUGCAAGAGAAGACAGAAAGGCAAAGCUGGAAGGCCUCCAUCUAACACAACAGAUAAUGGCAAUGCAAGGGGAGAAACUGGGGUUCUCUUACCUCCCAGCUCAGUGGCUACAGGGACAAGUGUGGCUGCUGCAAAGACAGAAAGUUCUGUUACUAAUUCCUUCCCCGAAUGGCUCACAGGCUGCUGGGGUUUUGUGAAAAGUGAAAGAGACAAACCACGUGACCAAAAUGUUCCGUGAUUCGUGGAGCAGACGGGGGCUGCUCACCCCCUGCUGUGUGUGUGAUUCCCACCCAGAUUCAACAUGGAAUCAUUAGGAAAGACAUUUGCAGUUAUCCCACACCCUCCUAUCUGUGCCUGCGUCAGGCGAAAACCCGCUUUCCGCUGAACCAUUUCUGGCCUGACCCUGGCGGGAUUUAUUUAGAAGGAUUUGAAACCAUUUUGAACAUUAUUUAACAUUUCUAUUGAUUGGAACAAAAGACUGUGAAUCUAGUGUUGAAUAGAGUGCUCGCUUUUUUAUGAA